CGAACGGGUGAGUAAUACGUAGGAGCAUAUCCAGUAAUGGGGGAUAACGCAGCGAAAGCUGUGCUAAUACCGCAUACGUCCUGAGGGAGAAAGCGGGGGAUCGCAAGACCUCGCGUUAUUGGAGUGGCCUACGCCUGAUUAGCUAGUUGGUGAGGUAAAGGCUCACCAAGGCGACGAUCAGUAGCUGGUCUGAGAGGAUGAUCAGCCACACUGGGACUGAGACACGGCCCAGACUCCUACGGGAGGCAGCAGUGGGGAAUUUUGGACAAUGGGCGCAAGCCUGAUCCAGCCAUUCCGCGUGAGUGAAGAAGGCCUUCGGGUUGUAAAGCUCUUUCAGCAGGGAAGAAACGGUUGCGGUUAAUACCUGCGACUAAUGACGGUACCUGCAGAAGAAGCACCGGCUAACUACGUGCCAGCAGCCGCGGUAAUACGUAGGGUGCGAGCGUUAAUCGGAAUUACUGGGCGUAAAGCGUGCGCAGGCGGUUUUGUAAGUCAGAUGUGAAAGCCCCGGGCUCAACCUGGGAACUGCGUUUGAAACUACAAGGCUAGAGUGUAGCAGAGGGGGGUAGAAUUCCACGUGUAGCAGUGAAAUGCGUAGAGAUGUGGAGGA
rnacentral:rRNA from 1 species